rnacentral:rRNA from 1 species
UACGUAGGGGGCAAGCGUUGUCCGGAAUCAUUGGGCGUAAAGCGCGUGUAGGCGGCUCGAUAAGUCUGCUGUGAAAGUCCAGGCUCAACCCUGGGAUGCCGGUGGAUACUGUCGAGCUCGAGUCCGGAAGAGGCGAGUGGAAUUCCUGGUGUAGCGGUGAAAUGCGCAGAUAUCAGGAGGAACACCGGUGGUGAAGGCGGUUCUCUGGGCAUGUCCUGACGCUGAGAAGCGAAAGCAUGGGGAGCAAACAGG